rnacentral:rRNA from 1 species
AUUGAACGCUGGCGGCAGGCCUAACACAUGCAAGUCGAGCGGAUGAAGGGAGCUUGCUCCUGGAUUCAGCGGCGGACGGGUGAGUAAUGCCUAGGAAUCUGCCUGGUAGUAGUGGAUAACGUCCGGAAACGGGCGCUAAUACCGCAUACGUCCUGAUGCAGAAAGUGGGGGAUCUUCGGACCUCACGCUAUCAGAUGAGCCUAGGUCGGAUUAGCUAGUUGGUGGGGUAAAGGCCUACCAAGGCGACGAUCCGUAACUGGUCUGAGAGGAUGAUCAGUCACACUGGAACUGAGACACGGUCAAGACUCCUAAGGGAGGCAGCAGUGGGGAAUAUUGGACAAUGGGCGAAAGCCUGAUCCAGCCAUGCCGCGUGUGUGAAGAAGGUCUUCGGAUUGCAAAGCACUUUAAGUUGGGAGGAAGGGCAGUAAGUUAAUACCUUGCUGUUUUGACGUUACCCACAGAAUAAGCACCGGCUAACUUCGUG